UCCUGGAGCCAUCAGACUUUGGAGCCUCAUAAAGUAUGGACUCCAUACCAGCCUCCUGGGAGUUUCUCCAUCUUCACUCUACUGACAUAUCUGUGCCCGCUGUAUUUGGAUUGAAAUCCUUGGCAGCAGACUGGGCUCUGCUACCUAUCAGCCAGUGGAAACAUGAAAUUCUCUAUAAGGUUCAGUUGCUGCACCCACAAAAUGGGCACAAGCUCACAGGGUUGAUGCGCUCAGGCACCAGGAUGACCUCAGCCUCAGAGCAUAUAGAAUGACAUCCUACUACUGAACCAGCUCUCCUCCAGUAUCUCAGCAGACCAGACUCAGAUCCAUCCCAUUACAUCGCCCCUGCUUUUCCUGCCUGAAAGAUUUCUCAGACAUGCUAUUGGGGAAAAAUAGAGAGAAAAGAAUAUUAGAGAAAGAACCAGAAAAAUCUAGAGCUGCAAUUUCAUGUGAUAAACUACCCAAUGCCUUGAUGAUCACACUUCAUGAAACUGAGUCACUUGGACUAUUCUGAUGAUCACAACAGAUUGCUGCCUUUCUCCCAAACCAACCAGGCAGUUAUUUCUUCUUUGGAAUGCACCGAUUGAAACUACCUGCAAAUUUAAAUGAUAAAGAAAAUUGAUGGCAUCAUCUUUACUAUCUUAUUAAACCAUACUUCUAUUACUGAUGAUUCACUAGAGUGCCAAGAAUAGGUAUACUGAAAACUUCUAUAGCAUAUUAAUGUGUUAAGCAUCACACCACAUUUAGUUCCUGAUAUAAUUUUGAGUUUCCUCUGGGGGAAAAAACAGUUCUUCUGUAUUCCUUUUAUAAAAAAACCACCUUGAAAAAGCUUUCAGAUACUCAAAAAUGUGAAUCUUGCUCUACCCCCUUGUGUAUAUCUGAUUUAAAGGUUAAUAAGUAAUUAGGAAGAACACUCAUCCAAAAAUUACCAAUUAAUAUACCAUCAUUUUCAUUAAAAGUGCUAUUAAUUAUAUUGUUGUACAAAUGUCCUGGACUGGCUCAUAAAAAGUUACCUAAAGCAAUUCUAAAUCUUUUGGGGAGAAAGAGAAAUUAAUCAAAAUCAAUCACUUUUUUAAAUUAUGAUUUGGGUUUGAGAAGUCAAACAAAAGAGGGUGUUCAAAUCAAAAAGCAACCGGAGACCAGCCUUGAAAAUUUCCUGAGAAGACAAAAAUCUGGCUAGUCAUACAAACGAAGUUUAAUUUAUCUUAUUUUGCAAGGUUAACUUGACCUGGAUCAUUUCUUGCUUAUGUCUCCGAACCUCAAAAGCAAAACGUGAACUGUCUCCCAGUGUUGAUGGGAGGUAACCAUGGACAAGUUCUCUAUGAUUUAAGAAAAUGCUAGUACUAUAACCAGUCACUGUGAAUAAUAAACCACUUGCUUAUGACGUAAGCUGCUUUACAGCAAGGCACCCCUGAGCCUCACUCCCUGUCUUGGUCUGAGUUCUCCCAGUUUGCAAACUGUCUUUUUGGUUGCAUGUACAAUAAACUUA